UACAGAGGUCCCAAGCGUUGUUCGGAUUCAUUGGGCGUAAAGGGUGCGUAGGCGGCGCGGUAAGUCGGGUGUGAAAUCUCGGAGCUUAACUCCGAAACUGCAUUCGAUACUGCCGUGCUUGAGGACUGGAGAGGAGACUGGAAUUUACGGUGUAAGCGGUGAAAUGCGUAGAUAUCGUAAGGAAGACCAGUGGCGAAGGCGGGUCUCUGGACAGUUCCUGACGCUGAGGCACGAAGGCCAGGGGAGCAAACGGG
rnacentral:rRNA from 1 species